CACACACAAAUUCACAACAAAAAGUUAUCCGUGCAUUUUAUAUGGCAAAAUGAAAGUAAAAACUAUUCCCAGCCCCCAAAGGCCUAAUUUUCUUAAAAGAAACCCAAGGGAGACAUUAACAAGAUCGAAUGGGAAGGGUGUUAUGCUGCACCAAAUAGGAACAGUUGCUCUUCCCCUGCUAAAUACAGGAGAGCUGCCCGUUUUAAAAGUGCCUCUGUUAAAGUUAGUAGGGUUGUUGGAAGCAUUCUAACUGGCUGGAGCUCUACAGAGUAGUUGCUCUGGCGACCAGCUCAAAGGCAAGGAAGUCAUUUUGGAGACCUGGAUCUUUGCAUGCUACUUUCUGGAGAUAUAUAUUAAGUCUGCAGUUUCUGAGAUGGUUGAUGUCGCAGUGAAUGCCAUACUGUCUCCUGGUGCUGUAUUAAGAAUGAAGAACUACCUGGCCAAGGUCACUUGCUUCCAGCUAUGUACCUUUUCCCUUAGCCUUUGUGGCUAGAAUAUGUUCAUGACACCUGCAGGGCUUGUCUAGUGGAGAAUGUGGAACUUUUCUAACAUCAACGGUGGCACUAGUGUGGUUUGGAUUGGAAUUUGGGAGUGCUGUCAUAUUGAUGAUAUUCUGUCCAUCGUCUUUGAGCCAGAUGACAUGAACUGUAUAAGAUUAAGUGAGGAACAUACUUUCGUCUCCUGGGAAAUUUUUGUUGCCCAGAACCUCAUGGCACUCACCACCAUUGCAGGGGCAGUGGAAACAGGUUUUCUAUUGGUGGCCUUCUGGAAUAUGUAUAAGAAGGGAAAACAGGAAAAUCUUGUCUUCAACCUUUUUUUUAUUGGAGGCAUUAUAAACAUAGCAUCAAGGAUAGGUGUGUUUAUUCCUAUUGCCUGGAAUAUGGCUUCAGUCUUGUUAAGUGUGCCCAUUUUCUUUCCUGAAGCUUUCCAUUUGCCAUCUGAGCUGGAGUACCAGUAUGUUGGAGCUGCUUUUCCUGUAGGGUUGACCUCUGCCAUUUUUUAGAUACUGAGCUGGUAAUAUAUUCUCAGCAAUAAGUGUUUGACUGUCAAUAACAGGUCAACAAUACCAACAGAGACAUCUGAAAGGGAAAGGGAAAGAGCCAUUUGUCCACAAUGUUCAUCUUCCUUAAUGCUUAAAAAUCAAAACGCAAAUAAAUGUGAUUCUGUGAUCAUCAGGACUGAGAGCCCAUUGGAGGUCCUCUGUACUGAAAACCCAUCUGUGAUACUUCAAAUGCAUGUACUGUCUGAAGACAGUACAGACAACGUGACCAGUCAAACUAAACCUAUCCCAUCAUCUCUCAAAACUCACAUUAUAUUUGUGAUACCAUACAAAGAAGCAUAAGUUCAUGCUUAUUUGAACUUUAUUUCAGUUAAUCGAAAUGAUCAGAUUCUGGUCCCACCAAGACAUGAACUGUAAAUAUUUGAAAAUUAUAUAAAUCUUUGAAAGGGAUAGCUGGUCUUUUUAUGUUGCAAGAAUUUAAUUUGCUGUUGGGAUUCUUUUUAUGUUUUGGGGACAGUUUCUGUGCUGUUAAUGGUAGUGGUUGCUUUCAUGGUAUAGGCUACUAUUCUCUGUUAUCGUUCUAUGUUUCUAACUUCUUCUUUAAAAUAUUAACAUUUUAAUCACA